rnacentral:misc_RNA from 1 species
GGCUGGAUCACCUCCUUUCUAAGGAGUAGUUUGUCCCUGAGGGGACAAGCAGGUCGAGCACUUGAAAUCGCUCGUGUUACUGGUGACGCACAGUUCAGCUUUUGGAAUUUUCUAAUUUAGACCGCCGGGCGACGGCGCCCGGGAAACCGGGCCUGUAGCUCAGUUGGUUAGAGCAUGCGCUUGAUAAGCGCAGGGUCACUAGUUCGAAUCUAGUCAGGCCCAUGAAGCAAUCGUUCUUUGAUAUCUACAUACAUCAAACUUUGCGCUCGCCGGCCUUCGGGCUGGUUGAGCGAGCUGAAUAGUAUAGAGAAUAGCUAAGAAGAGCACAUGAUGAAUACCUUGGCACUAACAGGCGAUGAAGGACGCAAAAAGUUGCGAUAAGCUUCGGGGAGUGACAAUUACGCUUUGAUC